rnacentral:snoRNA from 1 species
CUAAUGGAAAGAUUUUGGAAAAUAUUUUAGUUUAAAAAAUAAUCUUGUGGCAUAGAGGAGCAUAGGGCUUGGCCAUGUCAUGCACAGUCCCUUUCCACACCACAGGAGGUCAAGCCAGGCCUUGAGUCUGCACCUGCAUAUUCCUACAGCCUCCCAGAGUCCUCGGGAGCAUGACGGGGGAGAUCAACCAGGCAGGAAACAGUG